rnacentral:rRNA from 1 species
AGUGAACGCUGGCGGUAGGCCUAACACAUGCAAGUCGAACGGCAGCACAGUAAGAGCUUGCUCUUACGGGUGGCGAGUGGCGGACGGGUGAGGAAUACAUCGGAAUCUACUUUUUCGUGGGGGAUAACGUAGGGAAACUUACGCUAAUACCGCAUACGACCUACGGGUGAAAGCAGGGGAUCUUCGGACCUUGCGCGAUUGAAUGAGCCGAUGUCGGAUUAGCUAGUUGGCGGGGUAAAGGCCCACCAAGGCGACGAUCCGUAGCUGGUCUGAGAGGAUGAUAAGCCACACUGGAACUGAGACACGGUCCAGACUCCUAAGGGAGGCAGCAGUGGGGAAUAUUGGACAAUGGGCGCAAGCCUGAUCCAGCCAUACCGCGUGGGUGAAGAAGGCCUUCGGGUUGUAAAGCCCUUUUGUUGGGAAAGAAAAGCAGCAGGUUAAUACCCCGCUGUUCUGACGGUACCCAAAGAAGAAGCACCGGCUAACUUCGUG